CGGGGCGUAGCGCAGCCCGGUUAGCGCGCCACGUUCGGGACGUGGAGGUCCCCGGUUCGAAUCCGGGCGCCCCGACAA
rnacentral:tRNA from 1 species